ACGAGUUUUGAAACGGGUUGUAGCUGGCCUUUCCGAGGCAUGUGCACGCCCUGCUCAUCCACUCUACACCUGUGCACUUACUGUGGGUUUCGGGAGACGGUCGCGCCUUCACGGGUUGCGGUCGUUGAUCGGGCCUGCGUUUUACCACAAACCACAAAGUAUCAGAAUGUGUAUCGCGAUGUAACGCAUCUAUAUA
rnacentral:misc_RNA from 1 species